CCUACGGGUGGCAGCAGUGGGGAAUAUUGCACAAUGGGGGAAACCCUGAUGCAGCGACGCCGCGUGAGUGAAGAAGUAUUUCGGUAUGUAAAGCUCUAUUAGCAGGGAAGAAAAUGACGGUACCUGACUAAGAAGCCCCGGCUAACUACGUGCCAGCAGCCGCGGUAAUACGUAGGGGGCAAGCGUUAUCCGGAUUUACUGGGAGUAAAGGGCGCGUAGACGGCAGCGCAAGGCUGAAGUGAAAUGCCGGGGCUUAACCCCGGAACUGCUUUGGAAACUGUGCAGCUAGAGUGGAGGAGAGGUAAGUGGAAUUCCGGGUGUAGCGGUGAAAUGCGUAGAUAUUAGGAGGAACACCAGUGGCGAAGGCGGCUUACUGGACUGUAACUGACGUUGAGGCUCGAAAGCGUGGGGAGCAAACAGGAUUAGAUACCCCAGUAGUC
rnacentral:rRNA from 1 species